rnacentral:rRNA from 1 species
CCUACGGGGCAGCAGUAAGGAAUCUUCCACAAUGGACGAAAGUCUGAUGGAGCAACGCCGCGUGCAGGAUGAAGGCUUUCGGGUCGUAAACUGCUUUUAUAUGGGAAGAUUAUGACGGUACCAUAUGAAUAAGGACCGGCUAACUACGUGCCAGCAGCCGCGGUAAUACGUAGGGUCCAAGCGAUAUCCGGAAUUACUGGGCGUAAAGCGUGUGUAGGUGGAUUAAUAAGUGUGAUGCGAAAUCCGGCGGCUCAACCGUUUGGACUGUGUCGCAUACUGUUAGUCUAGAGGACGGCAGAGGUAAGUGGAAUUACGGGUGUAGCAGUGAAAUGCGUAGAUAUCCGUAGGAACACCAAUGGCGAAGGCAGCUUACUGGGCCACACCUGACACUGAGACACGAAAGCGUGGGGAGCGAACAGGAUUAGAUACCCUGGUAGUCCACGCCGUAAACGAUGCAUACUAUUAGUAUGGGGUAUCGACCCCCUGUGCUGAGAAGCUAACGCGAUAAGUAUGCCGCCUGGGGAGUACGAGCGCAAGCUUAAAACUACGAAGUAGUGCGNGNGAGAGCGACGACGACGACGACGGAGGAGGAG